rnacentral:rRNA from 1 species
UGGGGAAUCUUGCACAAUGGGCGAAAGCCUGAUGCAGCGACGCCGCGUGCGGGAUGAAGGCCUUCGGGUUGUAAACCGCUUUCAGCAGGGACGAGGCCGCAAGGUGACGGUACCUGCAGAAGAAGCCCCGGCUAACUACGUGCCAGCAGCCGCGGUAAUACGUAGGGCGCGAGCGUUGUCCGGAAUUAUUGGGCGUAAAGGGCUUGUAGGCGGUUGGCCGCGUCUGCCGUGAAAUCCUCUGGCUUAACUGGGGGCGUGCGGUGGGUACGGGUUGACUUGAGUGCGGUAGGGGAGACUGGAAUUCCUGGUGUAGCGGUGGAAUGCGCAGAUAUCAGGAGGAACACCGGUGGCGAAGGCGGGUCUCUGGGCCGUUACUGACGCUGAGGAGCGAAAGCGUGGGGAGCGAACAGG